rnacentral:rRNA from 1 species
UACGAAGGGGGCUAGCGUUGUUCGGAUUCACUGGGCGUAAAGGGUGCGUAGGCGGUGGGGUGAGUUUGGGGUGAAAUCUCCGGGCCCAACCCGGAAAAUGCCUUGAAUACUAUCCUGCUUGAGGAUCGGAGGGGAGACUGGAAUUCUCGGUGUAGCAGUGAAAUGCGUAGAUAUCGAGAGGAACACCAGUGGCGAAGGCGGGUCUCUGGACAGUUCCUGACGCUGAGGCACGAAGGUCAGGGGAGCAAACGGG